rnacentral:rRNA from 1 species
GACAGAGGGUGCAAACGUUGUUCGGAAUUACUGGGCGUAAAGCGCGUGUAGGCGGCUCGGUAAGUCGGAUGUGAAAGCCCUGGGCUCAACCUAGGAAGUGCAUUCGAAACUUCCGAGCUGGAGUACUGGAGAGGAAGGCGGAAUUCCCGGUGUAGAGGUGAAAUUCGUAGAUAUCGAGAGGAACACCGGUGGCGAAGGCGGCCUUCUGGACAGUAACUGACGCUGAGACGCGAAAGCGUGGGGAGCGAACAGG